GACGUAGGGGGCAAGCGUUGUUCGGAAUUAUUGGGCGUAAAGCGCUCGUAGGCGGGACAGGAAGUUCGUGUUGAAAGACCUCGGCUCAACUGAGGGACCGGCUCGAAUACUCUUGUUCUUGAGGCAAUCAGAGGGUGAUGGAAUUCCCGGUGUAGCGGUGAAAUGCGUAGAUAUCUGCAGGAACAUCCGAGGCGAAAGCAGGCAGCUGGGGAUGCACCGACGCUGAGACACGAAAGCCAGGGGAGCGAACGGG
rnacentral:rRNA from 1 species